UACGUAGGGUGCGAGCGUUAAUCGGAAUUACUGGGCGUAAAGCGUGCGCAGGCGGUUCGUUGUGUCGGCGGUGAAAGCCCCGGGCUUAACCUGGGAAUGGCCGUUGAAACUGGCGAACUGGAGUGUGGCAGAGGGGGGUGGAAUUCCGCGUGUAGCAGUGAAAUGCGUAGAGAUGCGGAGGAACACCGAUGGCGAAGGCAGCCCCCUGGGCUAACACUGACGCUCGAGCACGAAAGCGUGGGGAGCAAACAGG
rnacentral:rRNA from 1 species